ACCCCCUGGCAAUGGGCAAAGAGACACCUCGUUAAUGGUGUUGGUCUUCAAUCAGUCGGGGGCAGAAGAUGGCUGUCCUUUGUUCAUCCUAGCUUGAUGCCUGGCUCCGUGGCCAAAGCUGUUUCAUGCCUAGGGCACAGUA